CUUCUUCUCUCCCUCCUCCGCCUUCCCGUGGUAUCCAUGCUUGCUUCUUCAAGUUCCAGCAACACAUCAGCGUUGUGAGCCUUGAGUACUACUCCCUUCCGGUCUGCAUUGCAGACAAUAGUAGGCGGCGAGAUGAGCAAUUCCUGUGAGUGCUGCAAGAGAUACUGGGCUCAUUUGCAUGGAAAGGUCAAGUGUUUCUUCACGCAGAUUGAUAGUCAUUCUAGGCAUAGCGUGGUCAUACCAGAGAGCUUUGUGAACUAUUUCGGAUGGAAGCUGUCAGGAACCAUUGAACUAGAAGCCCCCAAUGGUAAUGUGUACGAUGUUGGAAUUACUGAGCGUAAGAACAAAACAUUACUCAGAUCUGGGUGGGAGGCGUUUGUUGAUGCCAAUCAUAUAGUAGAGAACGACUCAUUGAUGUUCCGAUACCGUGGAAGUUGUCGCUUCAAGGUUGCGGUCUUUGAUUCUAGUGGUUGUGAGAAAGUGGUGUCCUGUGCUCGCAUACUGACCAAUACCAGUGAUCAAGAACCAAGCACAAAUUCUGCAGACAUUUCGACCAGUUUCAGUGAUGGUAAUACUCCUUCGUCAGCACGAGCACGAUCACCGUAGAAAACGAGCAAAGAAAAAUGUGAUAUCUUAUCCUUCGAAGGGUUCGUCAGAAGACAGUCCUUUUGAGCAUGAGUCAUCUGAAUCCGAUGAUCAGGCGCUCCCAACGCCUCUUUAUGUGUUAUCAGGGAAUUGCUAUGUAACAGAAGAAGAUGAGGCCAAUAUAUUUGCACUUGCCCAGGAAAUUCAACCUGAAAUGCCUCUGCUUGUGGCUAUGAUGACGAAGCUCAGUGUCAAACCAUAUCCUGAUCUGGUAAUAGUAUUAAGUUGACCAAAACAGUGGAAGAUGCACACUCUUUGUAGAUUCAGUAUACUUGGUGAAUUUUCUUUUGUUGCACUUGCAAUAUGUCGUCGUGCUUUACAGUGGAAAUCAUGCUUUAGGGGGAUUUCACUUUUAUUGCAGUAUUAUUGCUCAUGAUUAAAACUUGGAUCGGUUUCAGAUACUGCGUCUUUCUGUGAUCACGUAAUUCCCAAGGAUUACGCACUCGCACACUUUCCACACAAAAACCAGACUAUAUAUCAAACUAAAGCUGCCUGAGCAGAGCAAGAAAUGGUAUCGUGAGUUCCGUGUCAAAUCUGAUGGAGGUCGUUGCAAUCUUAAGGAGUGUGGCUUUGCCCGUGACAAUCAUUUACUGGAGGGAGAUUUGUGCGUCUUUCAGCCCAUGACUAAUCGUAAGGGUAGAACAUUCAAAGUGAUGGUCCAUCUACUUCGCAAAGCAAGUAUUCAUCAUCCCUCCGGUAAAAAUGGUUUGACAAGCAAAAAGAAUGCUCCAACAUUGUGUAUCAAGGAGGAACCAAAUGACGGAGAAGAAACCCCUUCUUUGGGACAUGAAGAACAUGGAAUCAGUGACGAAGAACCCUACAUGAUGCCAAGGGGAAAAUUUUGGAGAAACUUGAAGCCAUCGGGUCAGAUCUGCACAUCUACGUCGCAGUCAUGACCAGGAGCAGUAUCCUCGUCUCCCUAUCCUUUGCCAUAAAGUACUCUGCCACGUACCUUCGGAAGAGGAGCGGGAGUUUGGUGCUUCAGGUGGCGGGGAAGAGCCAGAUAUGGCAUGAUGAGAUGCGCGAAAAGGCGGGUGCCAUGAGGAUACGUGCAGG